CCGCAGGUGCAGAUCUUGGUGGUAGUAGAAAAUAUUCAAACCAGCACUUUGAAGGC
rnacentral:rRNA from 1 species